UCGCAGUGGUGCUUCAGACUAUUCUAGAGUGAAAGUUCUCAGGGCAGUGUUCACUCCUGUUGGUGUGGGCUUCUCACCGGUACCCUCCUGCUUCCAGCGCCCCGAGUUGCUGCUGCCAGGGUCGCCUACUUUCUACAGGGAGCUCUGGCUCAAGCUCCCUCUCCUCUGCAGCAGGAGUGCCCUGAGGCAGCCCUUCGGUUCCCUGCAGCAAGAGCUCUGGAGCACUUCCCUCCCCUGCAAACUCCGGUCGGCUCUGGCAGUGUCACGCCCCCUGGCAAGAAGAGGCCUCUACUCCAUAGAGUCAAAAAAGAACCUAAGGCAACAAGCCCCAGCAACCAUCUUCCCCGCACAGUUAGAGCCGUGGAGUUGGAGCUCUAACACCAGGCUAUGCGACCCUCGAGUCACCGACACUCUCCAGCUUCCUCAUUACGAGGGCCUGCGACCUAGGAGAGUGAGAUUUUGCUACCACCUGGUGUCCAUUCAGUAAAUACUGCCCAGUGGCCGGUUACAGGGGCCAGUGUUUAGAAAAUUUUCUUAGAAGAUGUUUUAGGGAACCCUUGGUAGUGUCCAAGGUUGUCCACUGGAUUCCAAGGCUUGCUACCCUUAGGUAGUGUAAUAUAAAUUAAUCUGGCCAUAGGGUCCACAAACUCCUGGAAAAAGGGAGUGGAUCUUUUUAUUUUCGUGGAAAAAAUGGGGAGCCACUGAAAGUUUUUGAGCUGGUGGGGUGAGGGAAUUUGGAUACAGAAUCAGGGAUGCAGUUACCCUUUCUUUCCAGGAGUUAAAAAAUUUGUGCUAAAUUACAGUGGUUUAUUUUAAGUAAGUAAGUGACAUGUGGUUGCAGCAGUUAAAUACCACUUUCUCCCAAGAAUGCAGGCUCUUACCUAAAAAUGUGUGUGUGUGUGUACAUGUGUGCGUACACAACAGAGUAUGUGUUGAUAUGUGUGUUUUUAGUGGGGAAUCUGAAGGGGUAAGGUUAUAACAGAGAAAUUAGAAGCUGGGAAUAGACCAGUCUUAGACGCCUUUUCAUUCACAAACAGUUCUUACUGUAUUUUACCCAUUUAAGAUUCUUUGGGGCUUCUCAAACUCCUGUUUUACAGAUGAAAUUGUAGCUUAUUGAAGUUAAGAAACUCUCUCUCGGCUACACAGCAAAUGAGAAACCAGAAUGUGAACCCAGGCUGUCUGACGCCAGAGCCUUCACUCCCAACCAGCUGGAGUGCAAUGGCGCCAUCUCCGCUUACCGCAACCUUCGCCUCCUGGCUUCAGGCAAUUCUCCUGCCUCAGCCUCCUGAGUAACUGGGAUUACAGGCAUGCGCCACCAUGCCCAGCUAAUUUUUUUUAUUUUUAGCAGAGACGGGGUUUCACCAUGUUGACCAGGAUGGUCUCGAUCUCUUGACCUUGUGAUCCACCCGCCUCGGCCUCCCAAAGUGCUGGGAUUACAGGAGUGAGCCACUGUGCCCGGUUGAGAAUAUAUUCUUGUUAGCUGUGCCUUCCAAGGAAACUGGCGGCCAAUAUCCUAGUUAUUUUAGGGUUAAAAAAAAAUCUGUGUGAUAUGUAAAUAUAUAUCAAUUCUAUUUAUGGUUUAGUUUUUCAUGAGUUUUGGUUUUAUUCGAUUGGUAAUAUUUUUUCAACAAUUUACAGCUUGUUUUCUCUGAACUAGGUGUCAUCAAGGUCGAUACCACCAGUAUCUUGCCUGGGCUAGCACAUGAGUUUCUGGACUGGUCUGUCUGUUCCACUCCUACUUUCUGAUGAGCCAUUUUCUGCACCAUAGCCAGAGUAAUCUUAAAAAAUCCAAAUAGAUCUCAUCAACCCUGUCUAAUGGCUUUCCAUUCGCAUCAUGACUCCUUUUCUGCCUCAUCUUUUACCAUAGCCCUAUGGUGACAUUAUGCUAAGCCACUAGUGACCAUGCAGCCACAGUGACCUCCUUUCAGUUUUAUGGUUGGUUUUUUGGAGACAGAAUCUGUCUCUGUUGCCCAGGCUGGAGUGCAGUGCCACAAUCUAGACUCACUGCAACCUCUACCUCUCAGGUUCAAGUGAUUCAGGUGCCUCAGCUUCCCAAGUAGCUGAGAUUACAGGUGUGCGCCACCACAUCCAGCUAAUUUUGGUAUUUUUAGUAGAGACGGGGUUUCAUAUUGGCCAGGCUGAUCUCAAACUCCUGACUUUAGGUGAUCCACCUGCCUUGGCCUCCCUAAGUGCUGGGAUUACAGGCUUGAGCCACUGCGCUCAGCCCCUUCUUUCAGUUCUUUAAACAUGCCUUACUUAUUCCUAAAGAUGCUCAAUUUGGUACCUUUUUGCUCUCUUUUCCUUCUGUCUGGAGCUUUCUUUUUAUUCACAAUUCUAGUGGCUGGCUUUCAUCUGUUAGGUCUUAACUAAGGUGUUACAGUCUCAAAGGUCUUCUUCCCUGACCACCCAGUCUAACGUGGUCUCUCAGUCACUGCCUUUCUGAAUAAUGUUACUCUGUUUUAUUUUCUUCACAGCAUUUAUCUCUAUUUGAUUAUUUAUUUAUUUUUUGUCUAUCAUAAUAGACUCACCUUUCACCACAUAUAAUUUAAAAAUAAACUUUAUUUAAAAAUAAACUUUAUUUAAAAAUAAACUCACCUUUCCGUCUGGCCACAUAUGCCCCUGUCAUCUCUGCUGAGAAAGCCUACCAUGAACAGCUUACUGUAGCAGAGAUCACCAAUGCUUGCUUUGAGCCAGCCAACCAGAUGGUGAAAUGUGACCCUUGCCAUGGUAAAUACAUGGCUUGCUGCCUGUUGUACCGUGGUGACAUGGUUCCCAAAGGUGUCAGUGCUGCCAUCGCCACCAUCAAGACCAAUCGCAGCAUCCAGUUUGUGGAUUGGUGCCCCACUGGCUUCAAGGUUGGCAUCAACUACCAACUGUGGUGCCUGGUGGAGACCUGGCCAAGGUACAGAGAGCUGUGUGUAUGCUGAGCAACACCACAGCUGUCGCCGAGGCCUGGGCUCGCCUGGACCACAAGUUUGACCUGAUGUAUGCCAAGCGUGCCUUUGUUCACUGGUACGUGGGUGAGGGGAUGGAGGAAGGAGAGUUUUCAGAGGCCCGUGAGGACAUGGCUGCCCUUGAGAAGGAUUAUGAGGAGGUUGGAGUGGAUAGUGCUGAGGGAGAGGAUGAGGGUGAAGAGUAUUAACUUGUAUGCUGUAUUUUAUACUCCAUUGUCUUAGAAUUGUUUUAUUUCUGUUCUGUGGACCUGUCCAUAUGGCCCUUAAUUGUCAAUAAAAGUGAUGUUUCCAUUAAAAA